CUUUAGCCACAUUAGGCAAUUCCGUAAUUUUAUUUAAGGAAAUAAUGAAGCACAUUAAUAAUGUACUUAUAGUUGGUUUAAUAAAAAGCUUAUUAUAUAUUUAGAUGGACCAACAUAAUUCUCUAAGGAUUCUAAGAAUUAUUCUAGUGAUGACACGUGGCUACAAAAAAAUUGUUGCAAUGCUUCUUAAAUAAUAUAUAGGGGAUUUACGUAUGAAAAGUUGAAGAUUAAGAAUAAGUGAAUAAAUAAGUGAAAAUCGCGAAGAAGUUGCUUCAUAGUCAGUCGCUAGAGGUUUUUCCUUCAUAUUUUGAGAGAGACUUCUUCUUCUUCUUCUUCUUCUUCAUUUUGAUCUUACUUUCUUGCGUACUACUCUUGUUUACUGUUUGAAUAUCUUAUGAUGAGAUGCUUAGUGCUGCGAAAAAAACUGUUUCUCUCGCUGCCCGUCUCAGCAACGUACGAUCACUCUUUGAGAUCAUCUUUCUUUCUUUCUUUCUCUCGUUGAUAUUGCCUGGAUGUGUGUACGAGACUUCCUGCGAUUUUGAUUGAUGCAAAAAUGGAAAAUUUGAUUAACGAUGAGGCUGAAUCCUCGAUGUCAAUGUUUUGUUAUGAACAAUUCAUCCCUAGGAAGUGAGAAAGUCUCUGUUGGUGUCUGACGUUUUGACCAAAUCAGAUGAUAGUCCUGCUACUUUCGCUGAUUAUGGGUCGUAGGCGGUGAUUAGCCUUGUUCUAGAAAGGGAACUCAAGAAUGAACCUGUUUCAUUAGUUGCUGAAGAGGAUUCUGGUGAGCUGAGGAAAAUUGCUGCUGAGACAGUUUUGGCACGUAUUACAGAGCUUGUUAAAGAGACUCUUGCCACUGAUGAUUCAUAUGCGUCUGCUUCUACUUUGUCCCAUAAUGAUUCAUAUGCGUCUGAAAAUAAAUUGUGAAGCGACGCUGAUUCAUAUGCGUCUGAUGAUUCAUAUGCGUCUGAAAAUAAAUUGUUUUUGUUUUUUUGAUAGUAAAUGCGGAGCUGAAUUGGAUGUGUGAUAUAUGCUAUGUGGAGGUUUCUUCGGUACGGGAGAGUAGAUCAGAUGAUAAGAGGUUUUCCAUAUUCACUGGCACCAAGAGGCUCCACUUGCGAGCAGAGACGCGAGAGGACUGAGCAACCUGGGUUGAGGCACUGCUAGCUAUCAAAGAUAUGUUUCCAAGGAUGUCUAACAGUGAAUUGAUUGCUCCGAUCGACAAUUUGACCAUGUCCACGGAGAAGCUCCGGCAACGGUUGGUUGAUGAAGGAG